AAACUACAAGGGGAGCCGAAGCUCCCCCAGAAGUAGUUGCGUGCUCUAUUUUUAUUAUUGGUUUCGGGCUUCUUGUUUUUGUUGAUCGCCCUCGCCAUGAAGCUUCACCUUCAUGACACUCCCAAUUGGGAGUCAAGAGCAAACGGAUUGCUUUGGUCGCUGUGUUGCUGAUCUACGAUCCAACCAGUACAGGCUCUGCCUUAGGGCAGUU
rnacentral:misc_RNA from 1 species